GCAACUCCAAGUCAAGUAGGAUUACCCGCUGAAUUUAAGCAUA
rnacentral:rRNA from 2 species